UACAGAGGGUGCAAGCGUUGUUCGGAAUCAUUGGGCGUAAAGCGCACGUAGGCGGCCUGUUAAGUCGGAUGUGAAAGCCCAGGGCUCAACUCUGGAAGUGCAUUCGAAACUGGCGGGCUUGAAUGUCGGAGAGGGUGGUGGAAUUCCGAGUGUAGAGGUGAAAUUCGUAGAUAUUCGGAGGAACACCAGUGGCGAAGGCGACCACCUGGACGAACAUUGACGCUGAGGUGCGAAAGCGUGGGGAGCAAACAGG
rnacentral:rRNA from 1 species